rnacentral:lncRNA from 1 species
UUAUGAGGGACUCACAUAGUGACCCCAUUUUCCUCAUUUGCCAAGGAUGGCAUGUUGGGAGUAAUGAAUGAGUGAAGAGGAACAGUAUCAGCAUACAGAAAGAAGUAAAGACAAGGAACAUGGGGCCUUUACACAGCAAGGACUGGGCAGCCACUUCCUGCUGCAAAAUAGCAGUGGUAGAAAAACUCAUUGUGAAAAGACAGACACAAGCAAACCCACAGAGAGAAGCCAGGAAGAUAGCCCCAGUAGCCAGGGCAUAACUGUGCUUUUAUAAGUUGCUGUAUCAGUCCCCCAGGGACCCAGCUGGAAUUCCUGCCUUCAGGUUCUGUGAGAUACCUCCAUCUUCUCCCAGCACAUCCUUCUCCUUUGGUUGUGACCAAAAGCAAACUAUGUUUCUUGCCUAACCCUCCUUAAGACACAAGAGAGUAGGCAGGAAAAGAGGAGUCUAGAAAAUGACUGAAGUGGGGAGGAGGACAGGAUGGCUACAGCAGCCUUCAUAAGUAGCCAGGCCUGAAGCCAGAGAGUGGAGUGGAGGAGGUUACAGAUUUCCCAUAUGGCAGAGUUAGGGAAGCCUUACCCAGAGACACCAGGAGCCUGGAGGUCUCCAGCAUCACCUCCUCAUACAGGGUCCUCUGGGCCAGAUCCAGCUGCCCCCACUCCUCCUGGGUAAAAGUCACGGCCACAUAAUCAAAGGUCACAGGCAUCUGAAAAGUCAGAGGCAGUGUGUUGGUCUUGGGGCUACUGAUAGGAAUCAGAGUCCAUCUCUCUUGAUGGCAAGGGAGCAGAGUAACCAAGUACCCUGUGAGGGCUGAGCUCUGCGCUGGACUCAAAGAGGCAGAGAUGCUGUUUUGCCUGGAAUACAGCAGCAUAAAAGAGCCUCCUGGGCAGCCCGGGUGGCUCAGCGGUUUAGCGCUGCCUUCAGCCCAGGGCCUGAUUCUGGAGACCCGGGAUCAAGUCCCACAUCAGGCUCCCUGCAUGGAGCCUGCUUCUCCCUCUGCCUGUGUCUCUGCCUCUCUCUGUCUCUCAUAAAUAAAUAAAAUCUUAAAAAAAGAGAGACAGAGCCUCCUAUGUGGGAGCCAAUGGAGAAUACCAUGAGGUCAGGACCUUCCUAUGUGGACUGUGAGGCAUAGAACAGUAAGGGCUUUAAGAUGCCACAGGAAUGGGAAAAAGUAACAAAGAUAAUGAAAACAGCAACAAUAAUAAUUACAGCAACAGCAACUGAGACUCACUGAUUAUCCUGGGUGAUGAUGAAGUGGUGGUACCUGCUUGGGAAGUGGCAGGGCCUGGAUGGGGUCCCAAAGCCUUCUGUUCCUCAGAGACUGUGUGGGAGAAUCCACAAUGAGCCAUUGCUUUUUCCUACAUCUUCCCCUCACUCCCUUUAGUAACUCUGAGGCAACUCAAACUGGCCCACCUGAGUCUCAACAGCAGGUAUCCUUGAGGAAAGAAUACUUCAGGCCCAGAGGAUAGAAGCUGCUGAGGACAACGCAGGCUGUGGCAAUAACAGCCUUUGAUUUGUCACAGUGUCUGUCCUUGCUGAGAAUAUGAUGGAACAUUCAGCAAAUGACCACAAAGUCUGGCCCUCCCAGGGUACGUCUCAGCAGAUGGGGAUACAGGGGCCACGGAAACCACACAGGUCCUCGGGAGACUCCUUCAACAACCAAUGUACCUUUUAUUGUCCAUAUACUUCCACUUGCUAAAAUGCCACAUCCCCACCUCAUGUCUAAGGCCACUUACCGUAAGGAAGCCUGCUUGGCUUACUAAGAUUACUUCAGGUGUGCCUCCAGGCUUCCCUAUCUGCUUUUUGUAGAGAAAGGAGUAAAAAUACAGGCUAUGAAUGUCGACACACUGGUUGUUUCCACUACUUCAGAGCUGCAGUAAUUUUGGGCAGGUAACGAAAGCUCUCCAAGCCUCAAGUUGUUCUUGUGCAAAACAGUGAUAAUAACACAACUCAGAGGAGUUGAGGAUUAAAUGAGGUGAGAUGUUAUGCUUGCCUGUCAGUCCACCACAAAAACUAGUUAACACCAGCUAUCACAUUCCUUUUUGUUACUGUUUUCUCUUUAUUCCGACAAUGUCCUAGACAAGCUCAAUCACCAUGCUUAAUUCUACCAGGUUCCCUGCACAAAAAUACCAGAUGAUGGGUAAGUAGGAAAGGGGCCAUUUUGGACUGAACUGCUAGGAAAGUUCUCUCCGAAUGAGUGAUAUCAGAGCACAGGGCAGAAGGAUCAGAGUCCCUGCAAAGUCACAAGGGCAGUAGCCCAGGCAAAGGCCAGUGCCAAGGACCAAGGCUGUGGUCAGGCUGAUGCAUCUGGGAAGAAGACAAGGCCAGAGGAGGUCGGCAGGAGAACCGGGCUGAUACCUGCAGGUCAGGGCAGGGGCUGGAUCUGUAGGUGUGGGAGCCCUUGGCAGGAGGCACCUUCCAUCCUUCGUGCAGUGACUGGACACCUGCCAAAGACCCGCCACAGCUGUAGGACUGGGAUGAAGUGACAAGCCCACGCCACUUGCUGGAAACAAACGAUAGGAAGAAGAAGAAAUCGGACGGCAGUUCCGGCCUCCAACCUGCCCAGGAGGCACACCCCGGCAGCACAGGCACCCACAGCAGAGGCAGCAGCGCCCAGAGCAAAGUCCACUCAACGGUGCCGGCUCCAUCCACACUGCCGCCAUCACGGGACCCCGUGCCCGGGGCAGGACCCGCAGGGGCGGCGGCCGAGGGGCCUGCCGGACGCGGCCGACCGCCACCCUUUCUACCCAUAGCAGAGUGACCCCGGCGGACUGUCACACUCCGAGCCUCAGUUUCCCCGUGCAAAUGCACCCGCAGACCAUGGCCUCGCGUCAGGGCUGAAGAGACAGCGACCUGCGCUUCCGCGGGCACUCACGGGACAUCCAUUACGGAAGUUGAGGGAUGGGUCUCAGGCUCGCAAAAACACAGAGGUUGGACCUACAGUCCUCACCAAGGUACCUUCUCUGCUCCGGCCUCGGACAAAACACCCGCCACCGCCCAAAGACCCCGAAACCGGGGAGGACCCGCCCAACACUGGUAAAAGACAGACGCGUCACAGGGACCGGAAGUCCC